rnacentral:rRNA from 1 species
UUUGGGACAAUGGGCGCAACCCUUGAUCCACCCAUCCCGCGUGGGGGAACAAGGCCUCCGGGUCGUAACCCCGGUUUUGUCAGCCCCAGACCCGGUUUGGGGUAAUCCCCCGAACUAAUGCCGGCCCUGAAGAAUAAGCACGGGCUAAUUAGGUGCCAGCAGCCGCGGUAAUACGGAGGGCGCAAGGGUUAAUGGGAAUUACUGGGGUAAAGCGUGCCAGGGGGCUUCCAAGACAGAUGGAAACCCCGGGCUCACCCUGGGAACCGCAUUGUGACCGCAAGGUGGAGUCGGCAGGGGGGAGGAAUUCCGGGGUACCAGUAAAGGGUAGAUUGGGGGGAACACGGAGGGGGAAGGCAAUCCCCGGGGCCUCACUGACGCUCAGCAGAAGGGGGGGGG